GCGACAAACUCAGCCAGGGCUGCUCUUCGUGCCGUGCCCCUGUGGCGAAAGGGAGCGCUUGUCUAUUUUUAAAGCUGACAGGAAACCAAAACAAGCUUUACUGGUGGUCUCUGUCAGAGGUCGUAGUCUCUUGUCAGAGGCUUUUACAAUGGCUGUUGGUCAUUCCUAUUGUACAAAACAAAACAUUUCAGCGGGGCGAUCUUGCAGCUGGUCUCGAGGCGUUUUGGGAACGUCCUGUCUUCGUCCCCUUGGCCAGGCUGACGGGGCCCAUAAUUGCGAGAGUGAAAUGCAGAGUGGAGGAAACCUACAUAAUUACCUGCUGCCAGGCUAAUGGAUGCAAGCGUACAGACCCAUAGCUCCAAUCAAGGGAACUCACAAAAUCUUUUCUCUCUACCCUGUGUUCCAUCUUCUAAAAGCCAAACAGGCUGUAAUGGUCAGAGAUUUCCAGCUUUCCACUGCAUGAGACUGUCUGGCUUGGCACAUGUAUGCAGCCCUGGAUGCGUGGACAGGAUCUGGUGCUCAUGCACUGGCCCGUCGUCUGGCGUUUCCUCCAGGCCGUUCAAACCUGCAGGCCUGCUGCCAGAGGCAGCAUUAUUCCAGGUGCUGCUGAUGGGAUAGCCUGGCUUGGGCCAGCUGAAGAUGAAAUGCAGGCCAGUGCAAAGACCCUGACUCGGCCAGCCUGCGUUUGCUCUGUUCGUGCGCCUUUGGCGUCCCGCACUGUAAUUUCCAUCCCUUUGCAUUCCAGCACAAAAAUCAAUGGCUUACUUUGGACAAUGUUAAAGAGCACAAAGACCUAACAAAACGAGCUGUGUUUGUUUUAAAGGAGAGAAUUCUGUAAACGAAUGCCACACGAUAAGACAGGAGCAUUAAAGGAGCACCCUGAUUUCAGAACAACAAAAUGGUGAAAACUCAACUCCAUUUAAUAUAAAGAGGAAGGAAUGGGUGUGGAUUUGCUGUUUCACAUUCCCACACUAGGUUGUUGAUGCGAGGACCAGUAGUCAGUCACAUGAUAAAACUUGUUUUGAAGCUAUAAUUGUUAGCAUAUGCUACCACCGGUUUCAGCCGCAACCUCAAAACUAUUGAUCUAUUUAGGUAACAAAGUUUCUCUUCUGCGAGCCAUCACCAGUAAGAAUAGAUUUUUAAGUGCAAACAAGCUAAUGAACACAGUAGCAUCUUGAAAAUGUAAAAAGUGUGUGGAUUCGAAAGAAGCAAUUUUGCAGGCAUUGCAUUACAAAUGGAUAAAUUAUAUAAAAAGAUGAAGGAUUAUAGCCGGUGUAGUGGAUUUAUUAUGUGCUGUAAAACAAAGCAUAUAUACAUUUGUAAACUGAGCUAAAAUGAUUCAGCUUCUGUUGUUCUAAAUAGGAGUUACAAUGCAUAUAUCAGAGCAGAAGGUGCAAAGUACCACGGAGUACGUGAAUGAUGAUUAGAGGACAGACGUAAAAGCUUUGUCGUUGUUCUUUUAUUUUAUAAAUAAUCCCAUGGCAAGACAGAGUCCAAUAAAGUGCAUUACCCCCUGAGCAUCUUUGGUGGAACGAGCCUAUUAGUAUGGCACCUUGCUAUUCUUAGCCGGGAACAAAGGCAGUAACGCUCGUUUUGAGCACCUGUGGAUGUUCUGACUCAUCUGACAAGAGACUGCUCUUCAUUGCAUACCGAGACAUCACUUAGGGAUUUGGAGACCAAUUCAAGCACAAAAUAAGCUUAAGACAGGACAGCACAAAAACUAGGAGCCAAUUAAAGACUCAAUCAAUCUAAAUUGAAAUGAAUAGAUUCAUCAAACGCAUGCUGCUGCAGACCGAGGCAAAGGCCUUAAUCUCCGUUCACACACGGCAAACCCCAUUGACGCCAUCAUCGGAUUUGCAUGGAAAGUGAUACCACUGUAACAGGCAACAAUGUGAGAUGCAAACCAUAACAGCCAUGCAAGCUGCCUCUGCACUGAAGGCAUGUGGGCGGCGCUCUGGUCGGGAGGCUGCUGGCAUCAACACACUGCCUGCCACGUUUCUGACCACUUCUGCACUCCAACACGCUGCACCUCAGGGCAGAUCAAUCUGACUCAUGCUCACAAGCCACCAAGCACAACCACAUCCUCAGCUGUUACCUGUUCUUGACUGCUGCUAUAUCCUGUUAGCUGUGUGCCAUAUUGUUUGUUAUUGUUUUUGUAUUACACGUAAAGCUUUUUGUAGCUUAGUGCACGGCACUAAUAAAUUGUUUUUGAUUUUUA